AGUCGAGGGGCAGCGCAGUGUAGCAAUACAUGGGCGGCGACCGGCAAACGGGUGCGGAACACGUACACAACCUUCCUUUAAAUGGGGAAUAGCCCAGGGAAACUUGGAUUAAUACCCCGUAACAUUAUGAAGUGGCAUCACUUUAUAAUUAUAGCUACGGCGUUUAAAGAUGGGUGUGCGGCUGAUUAGGUAGUUGGCGGGGUAACGGCCCACCAAGCCUUCGAUCAGUAACUGGUGUGAGAGCACGACCAGUCACACGGGCACUGAGACACGGGCCCGACUCCUACGGGAGGCAGCAGUAAGGAAUAUUGGGCAAUGGACGCAAGUCUGACCCAGCCAUGCCGCGUGGAGGAUGAAGGUCCUCUGGAUUGUAAACUUCUUUUCUCUGGGGCGAAAAACAGGUAUUCUUACUUGCUUGACAGUACCAGAGGAAUAAGCACCGGCUAACUCCGUGCCAGCAGCCGCGGUAAUACGGAGGGUGCAAGCGUUAUCCGGAUUCACUGGGUUUAAAGGGUGCGUAGGUGGGUAGGUAAGUCAGCGGUGAAAUCCCCGAGCUUAACUUGGGAACUGCCAUUGAUACUAUCUGUCUUGAAUACCUUGGAGGUGAGCGGAAUAUGUCAUGUAGCGGUGAAAUGCUUAGAUAUGACAUAGAACACCAAUUGCGAAGGCAGCUCACUACACGGUCAUUGACACUGAGGCACGAAAGCGUGGGGAUCAAACAGGAUUAGAUACCCUGGUAGUCCACGCCCUAAACGAUGGAUACUCGACAUCAGCGAUACACUGUUGGUGUCUGAGCGAAAGCAUUAAGUA
rnacentral:rRNA from 1 species